UACGUAGGGGGCAAGCGUUGUCCGGAUUUAUUGGGCGUAAAGCGCUCGCAGGUGGUUCGUUGCGUCGUGCGUGAAAGACCCCGGCUCAACUGGGGGAUGUCGUGCGAUACGGGCGGACUGGAGGCCAGUAGGGGGGAUGCGGAAUUCCGGGUGUAGUGGUGGAAUGCGUAGAGAUCCGGAAGGAACACCAGCGGCGAAGGCGGCAUCCUGGACCAGUACGACGUCAGGCACGAAAGCGUGGGGAGCAAACAGG
rnacentral:rRNA from 1 species